rnacentral:rRNA from 1 species
AGAGUUUGAUCCUGGCUCAGGACGAACGCUGGCGGCAUGCUAACACAUGCAAGUCGAACGGACAUAAGGAAGACAUAGCGAUAUGUAAGAAUUAUGUUAGUGGCGAACGGGUGAGUAACACGUGAGCAACCUGCCCCAUACAACGGGAUAACACUUAGAAAUAGGUGCUAAUACGGUAUAAGACCACACUACGGAAUCGUAGAGAGGUAAAAGCGAAUUUAGCGGUAUGGGAUGGGCUCGCGUCCAAUUAGCUAGUUGGUGAGGUAACGGCCCACCAAGGCGACGAUUGGUAGCCGACCUGAGAGGGUGAUCGGCCACACUGGAACUGAGACACGGUCCAGACUCCUACGGGAGGCAGCAGUGGGGAAUAUUGGGCAAUGGAGGAAACUCUUACCCAGCAAUGCCGCGUGAGUGAAGAAGGUCUUCGGAUUGUAAAGCUCUUUGAUUGGGGACGAACACAAUGACGGUACCCAAGGAACAAGCCCCGGCUAACUAUGUGCCAGCAGCCGCGGUAAUACAUAGGGGGCGAGCGUUGUCCGGAAUUACUGGGCGUAAAGGGUGUGUAGGCGGUUUUUUAAGUUAGAAGUGUAAUACCCAGAGCUUAACUCGGGUGCUGCUUCUAAAACUGGAAGACUAGAGUAUGGGAGAGGAAAAUGGAAUUCCUAGUGUAGCGGUGGAAUGCAUAGAUAUUAGGAGGAACACCAGAGGCGAAAGCGAUUUUCUGGACCAUAACUGACGCUGAGGCACGAAAGCGUGGGGAGCAAACAGGAUUAGAUACCCUGGUAGUCCACGCCAUAAACGAUGAAUAAUCCCGCGGCCAUGGCGGCCGGAGCA